CCGCUCAGCAACACACAAGUCCACCAGCACACAGGCCGGGGGCAGCCUGCUAACUCGAGUCUCCGUCGUUUUUAUUCUUUUGAAGAAUAAUAAGAAACCAGAUGUGACGGCAAUGCGCACCAUUGUACUCCGAGGCCUCCCUGUGUGUAUGCUAGCAGGGUGAGGUUACCAGCCUAGCUCCUGUGAAAAACAUGCAGUGGAGAGAGACAGUAAAUCCAGGGGGAGAGAUAGGGGAUGAUGACAUGUAGCAAAUGGUUCAGGGCGGAUUCAAACCCGGUGUCAUUGUGGAUUGUGACACUGAUGAGACAUGGGCAGAAGUAUAUGGUGGGUUGCUGACUGUUGUCUGUGAAGAUGUGCAACUCACUCCAAAUCAGCCCCACCAUCACCCAGUGUCUACUGCCAUCAUUGUUGAGGGGCAUAUUUGGAGUGAAGCUUUGGCUUGAUGUGGAGUUCAUAUGUGUUCUUCAUCUUUCAUUAGAACCAAGGACCAUGCAGCCUUUGUCUUAGCAUAUGUCAAAUGGCCAAGUCAGAUAGAUGUAGACUACAAAUCAAGAUGGUGAGUGACAAAGAAACUCCAACAAGAUGGCUACUUGACUGCAUGGCUGUUGUGUGUCUUUGGUAACCACUUUUGUAAACUGAGAUGCCAGCUUAGAUGAGGUUAGAAGCAUACACAUCUAGAGCUGAAAGCGAAGAAGCAUGGACACCGCUAACAUCCUAUCAAGCUAAAUGUGGACAUUGCCACAACACUUUGUGUGAGCAAGUUAGCUCAAUACAACAUGUCAUCUAUGCUUAGCUAAGUAGUGUAAUGCUAUGCUAGGCCCAGUUCCAUUACCAAGUCCUUAAAAAGUGUCCCUUUGAGGAGCUGUCUGUUGGUCUAGGAACAGUAGAUGGUUGACUGUGUUUCUGGUGUCUGUUGGUGAGGUUCCUCUGUACAAAGUGAUCCAGUUGGAGCUAACCUGGCUCUGGAUCCUUAGGCAGGCUGUGGUGUCACUGCCUCUGAUGUGAGGAUAGCAGGCCGCUAUGAGCAAAGGGCCAUGUGGUCUCCAACCUGAAGGAGGUGGUGGAGAAAGACUGAGUGAGAGAGAAAGAGAGGAAAGUAAAAGAAUUAGAUGGGAUGACUUACCUGACUGGAUGUUGGAGCCACGCAGAAGAGCAAGUGGUGUGCCAUUUUCUGGGCUUUCGCAAAGGAGGACGUCUAGUAGAUCCAAGAAGAGUCGCAACGGGCCCGGAGGACGGUAGAUGACAACAAUAGUAUUAGGUUCCUCCCUCGCGCCGCGCCGCCCCAGCAGACUCUUGUGAGACUCCUAUGUCUUUGUCUUCCGGAGUCUUGACUCCUGUGAGACUCCUAUGUCUUUGUCUUCCGGAGUCUUGAC